AGCAGGUACUGGAGCGACACUGUUGCCUCGGAUACCUUUGGGUCACAUCAGUAACACUGUUCCUGACGGGUAGACAUUUUUUUCCUCUGUUCUAGAGGUUUCUCGCGUGUACUCUACCCCACUGCAUUGAUGCAGCUGCCGCACGCGUAGAACCCCGCUGCCCGCAGGGUGAGGUGCCUGGCGCAGGUUCUUCGGUUCUUCCGUUGUUGGUUGGAGGGCAUUGGCGUCGAUCCAGGCAGGAGACGGAUUUCCAUUUUUCUAGUUGCGAAUCGGUCUCAGCUUCAACGGCUCCUCCAGCGAGGGUGGUAGAAUGGAGCAGGUGCAGCUGCCAUAAAAGCCCGUGGGCAAAGAGCCGGGUCAAGGGCAGUCGGAACUUGCCACGCAGGGGCGUCGAACCACCGGUUCAAGGCAACAUCACAAGUGGUGAUGACAGAUUCCCAAUGCAGCCUGAAGGUUCAUCAUUCGACUCAGAAAAUGAACUACUGAUGAUAACAAGUACAGUGCAACUCAGGGUGCACAUCUGAAUCUGAAUGAAGUGUGCAGAAAAAGGCUUGUGUUUUGGUCAAUAAAAUUCCAGCUAUUGUUGACACACUGGUUGCAAAGACCCGGGCAUGGGAACAAGAACAUGGCAUAUGGCAUUGACCUAUGACGUCGUUCCUCUUCUUGCAAUGCUGGAUGAAUACAAAACUCCAAGGCAAGAGAAGGAAGAAGAGAAGUGACAAUGACGGUAUUCUCAGUGUGCAAGCCAGCUGCUUCCUGUGACUGGUUCAGGAGCCACUAUCUAACCACUUCACCUUUCAUCAAGAACAGAAAAAAGAUGAAUGAUCACAGCUGGCUACUGAACAGGAAAAAUUGUUUGGGUCAAAGUCGAGCCCUGCCCUGUCCUUGAGGAAGGUGGUUGGCGCUCGGACCAAUGGUGGCGGUGAUGCAGCCAAUGGCACGCCAGUUUCUUGGUUGUCGGCCCUCCAGAGCCGUGGCGGCAGGACCGUGAGCCAGGAUGGGAGGAGGGAUGCUAGCAGACCAGUGGCCCCCGUGAACUACGCUGCCGUCGCCAAGGAGGAUGUGCCUCGCAGGCGUCGACAUACUGCUCAAGUCAAUCUGUAUUAUGAACUUGCGUUGGGCGCAUUGAAGAAGGUGCAGCAUCCGUGCAUUUACAAGCUAUCAACAAAGGAGCAUGAAACGACAAUGAGGGGGUUUUUGAGUGAUAGAUUUAUGCCAGAACAAUUUUCAUGCGCCCAUGGUCCACUGAUUUACUAGAACCUAUGCAAUGUUGGCACCAAUGAGUCAAGACAAGGACUAUCAAGUGGAACAAGUGUAGUGGAAUCAGGCUCCCUUCAGUCGAGGUGCACUGUUAAGACAGUGUAUGAGAUUGUAUCAUGAUUUGAUUCAAGGAAGAAAGAACUGGUUGAAACAACAGGAUUUGGUGGACUUCUGAAGUUUCCACACCUUAAAAAUACAAACAGGCGAUUCUAAAUAUUUAUUUUUGUUUGUGUAUUUAAUUAGUGAAAAAUAACAUGAUUGUUAAAAAUAGUAUAGAUUCUUAAAAUACCCAACAUUUUAUUUAUGAAAAUGUCAAGCUGCUGGUCCUCUGUUCAUAGCGGGGCAGAAAUAAAACAUAUUUACUGUAGUGAAGUGAUUGUAUGAGGAUGUGACUUUUGUUAAAUGAAUGAGAUUUUGGUUAGUUCUUUGAA